rnacentral:tRNA from 1 species
UGUCUUAUAUUCAAAAAAUGAUAUAAAAUUGCAAAUUUUAAGGUGUAAUAAUAAUACUAAGGCUU